GUGGUAGAACAGGUUUGGGCGAGGCGGUCGAGCGAGCCUCACACACACAGUAAAAAGGAGAGAGAGACAGAUUUUUACUGUUGCUGGAGUUUCCUUCAGUUUGAGACUUGAUUUGACUUCAGAAGAAAGAGGAUAAAACCCCGAGAGGAAGAGGAAGACACCAGGGGUUCCUUUACAACCAGGGAGUGAAGAAGGAGAAGGAGAAGAAGAAGAAGAAGAAGAAGAAGAAGAAGAAGAAGAAGAAGAAGAAGAAGAAGAAGAAGAAACACCUGUGGCCUCUGAACAGAGCUCUCUGAUUGGUCAGAUUUAGCGUGGCCGCCUGUGACACGCCACCAUGUCGUCAAACAUCAACGUUUCCAUUGACAAUCCGUACGGUCAGGUGACUAUCCCGAGGGCUAAGCUACGCUCCUCUGAUGAUGCUGCCACGGUGAUAGCCAAUCCAAUGGCUCUGAAUAGUAAUGCCGGGAACCCGUACGGGUCAUCGGGCGCUGCCCCCCCACCACCAUACAUGGUGAAGGAAGAUGGAGGGGACGAAGAGGAGGUGAAGUGGUGCCGCGCCUGCUGCUACCGCUGUAGAAGGAACAAGUGAUGUCAUAGCAGCAGCAUGUGACGUCAUGGCAGCAGCAUGUGACGUCAUGGCACUAGGAGGAUUGUGAUUGGCUCAGAUUUAUUUAUUCAUCAGUUUUUCUCCUAAGAGAAAGUCAGAGAAAUGAAGGAUGGAAGGAAAGGACACAACUGAGGAGGUGAACGAUAAGAAGAAAGGAAGAUUCACGAACUUGAUGAAGUUGUUUCCGUAAUUCAACCAUUUUGUAGUAAUUUCUGUUUGUUUAGUUAAAACACUUUAUAGAUAAAAUCUAUUUUGAGACAAAGCUUCAAGGUUCAUUUCCUGAAACAGGCUCCACCCCCUGAGGAAGACCAUGGGAUACAGCUGAAAGCCUCAGGAGAAAAACAACCGGAAGCUGAAGUCGAUGUCUCUGCUGCUUCUGAACUUUUUUCUAUUUUAUUUAACAUUUAUACCAAAAAAACGAGUUUAUUUUAAUUUUUCUGUUUAAUGAUUUUAUUAGUUUCUGUUUUGAUUCUGUUCUAAAGUAAAGGAAAGACAUGAUUUACACCACGUGGGAGCAGAUCAGACCCAAAAUGGCUGCUGCUGAUGUUACCGGUAAUUUAUCAAUCUUAAGAAAAGAUAUAAACCUCUUUGUUUGAGAGGUUUGUAAUUUCAUCACUCACCUAAAAUACAAAUUAUAUUCAUUAAACUUCAUUAAUACCAGUUUAAAAUUAAUGAAUCCAGGUUUAAAAUUGAUUUACCUCCGUUCCUGUUUGAUUUGAGUCUGUACCUCUGAAGAAUUUUUAUUAUCACGGGACUUAGACAUUAAUGAUGAAGUUACACAUUAAUUCCUGUAAACUGGAUAAAUCAGGUCGAUUAUUGAUCAUUUCUUUGUUUAUUCAAACAUCUGUUUUGUAUAUAGUUUAUAUUUUAAGCAGUUUUCUCUGCAGAUGAAAUGUUUUCAUUCAGGAAGUGUUAGAGAUUAAAGUGUUUAUAUUUUUCAUAUCAAUGACUCUGUGGUGUAAAUACGAGGAGACAGUAGAAUGUGAUGUUUGUGGUGAAAUAAAAACCAUGUGAAGAG